rnacentral:snRNA from 1 species
CAAAGCCAAUCGAUGGGGGAA